AGGAAAGAGUUUAUUCAGCUUAUACUUCCACACUGUUUUUCACACCAAAGGAAGUCAGGACUGGAAUUCCAGGACAUCAGAGGUUUGAGCAGGUC